GCGCCAGACUCCUACGGGAGGCAGCAGUAGGGAAUUUUGCGCAAUGGGCGACCGCCUGACGCAGCCCCGCCUCGUGAACUAGCCGCCCUUCGGGGUGUCCAGUUCUGUCAUUUUGGACGAAAGCUGCCGGUACCCCCCUCUUAAGCACCUUCUCCCUCCGUGCCCGCCUCCGCGGUACUCCUUCGGGUGCACGCUUUGUCCGGAAUCAUUGGGCGUAAAGAGUUCGUAGGCGGUAUGUUAAGUCUGGUGUGAAAUGCAGAAGCGCAACUUCUGUUCGGCACUGGAUACUGGCAAACUAGAAUGCAGUAGAGGGAAAGGGAAUUCCUGGUGUAGCGGUGAAAUGCUUAGAGAUCAGGAGGAACAUCGGUGGCGUAAGCGCUUGACUGGGCCGUAAUUGACGCUGAGGAACGAAAGCCAGGGUAGCAAAUGGGAUUAGAUACCCCAGUAA
rnacentral:rRNA from 1 species